GAUGAACGCUGGCGGCGUGCUUAACACAUGCAAGUCGAACGGAAAGGCUCCUGCUUGCAGGGGUACUCGAGUGGCGAACGGGUGAGUAACACGUGGGUGAUCUGCCCUGCACUUCGGGAUAAGCCUGGGAAACUGGGUCUAAUACCGGAUAGGACGAUGGUUUGGAUGCCAUUGUGGAAAGUUUUUCGGUGUGGGAUGAGCUCGCGGCCUAUCAGCUUGUUGGUGGGGUAAUGGCCUACCAAGGCGUCGACGGGUAGCCGGCCUGAGAGGGUGUACGGCCACAUUGGGACUGAGAUACGGCCCAGACUCCUACGGGAGGCAACAGUGGGGAAUAUUGCACAAUGGGCGCAAGCCGGAUGCAGCGACGCCGCGUGGGGGAUGACGGCCUUCGGGUUGUAAACUCCUUUCGCUAGGGACGAAGCGCAAGUGACGGUACCUGGAGAAGAAGCACCGGCUAACUACGU
rnacentral:rRNA from 1 species